GAAACUUAAAGGAAUUGGCGGGGGAGCACAGCAACGGGAGGAGCGUGCGGUUUAAUUGGAUUCAACGCCGGAAAACUCACCAGGGGCGACUGCCACAUGAAGGCCAAGCUGAUGACUUUGCCCGAUUGGUAGAGAGGUGGUGCAUGGCCGUCGUCAGUUCGCACCGUAGGGCGUUCUGUUAAGUCAGAUAACGAACGAGACCCUUGCCCAUAAUUGCUACCUACCCCUCCGGGGGCAGAGGACUUUAUGGGGACCGCUGGUGCUAAAUCAGAGGAAGGAAAGGGCAACGGUAGGUCAGUAUGCCCCGAAUCCCCUGGGCAACACGCGCGCUACAAAGGCCGGGACAAAGGGUUCCGACCCCGAGAGGGGUAGGCAAUCCCGAAACCCGUCCGUAGUUCGGAUCGAGGGCUGCAACCCGCCCUCGUGAAGUUGGAUUCCGUAGUAAUCGCGGAUCAACAUCCCGCGGUGAAUAUGCCCCUGCUCCUUGCACACACCGCCCGUCAAACCAUCCGAGUGGGGUUUCGAUGAGGGUGGGCUUUUUUGGCCUUCUCGAAUCGCGAUUCUGCAAAGGAGGGUUAAAGUCGUAACAA
rnacentral:rRNA from 1 species